rnacentral:rRNA from 1 species
UGGGGAAUUUUGGACAAUGGGCGAAAGCCUGAUCCAGCAAUGCCGCGUGUGUGAAGAAGGCCUUCGGGUUGUAAAGCACUUUUGUCCGGAAAGAAAUCCUUGGCUCUAAUACAGUCGGGGGAUGACGGUACCGGAAGAAUAAGCACCGGCUAACUACGUGCCAGCAGCCGCGGUAAUACGUAGGGUGCAAGCGUUAAUCGGAAUUACUGGGCGUAAAGCGUGCGCAGGCGGUUUGCUAAGACCGAUGUGAAAUCCCCGGGCUCAACCUGGGAACUGCAUUGGUGACUGGCAGGCUAGAGUAUGGCAGAGGGGGGUAGAAUUCCACGUGUAGCAGUGAAAAUGCGUAGAGAUGUGGAGGAAUACCGAUGGCGAAGGCAGCCCCCUGGGCCAAUACUGACGCUCAUGCACGAAAGCGUGGGGAGCAAACAGGAUUAGAUACCCUGGUAGUCCACGCCCUAAAACGAUGUCAACUAGUUGUUGGGGAUUCAUUUCCUUAGUAACGUAGCUAACGCGUGAAGUUGACCGCCUGGGGGGUACGGUCGCAAGAUUAAAACUCAAAGGAAUUGACGGGGUCAUAGCUGUUUCCU